AGCGAACGCUGGCGGCAGGCUUAACACAUGCAAGUCGAGCGGGCGUAGCAAUACGUCAGCGGCAGACGGGUGAGUAACGCGUGGGAACAUACCUUUUGGUUCGGAACAACACAGGGAAACUUGUGCUAAUACCGGAUAAGCCCUUACGGGGAAAGAUUUAUCGCCGAAAGAUUGGCCCGCGUCUGAUUAGCUAGUUGGUAGGGUAAUGGCCUACCAAGGCGACGAUCAGUAGCUGGUCUGAGAGGAUGAUCAGCCACAUUGGGACUGAGACACGGCCCAAACUCCUACGGGAGGCAGCAGUGGGGAAUAUUGGACAAUGGGGGCAACCCUGAUCCAGCCAUGCCGCGUGAGUGAUGAAGGCCCUAGGGUUGUAAAGCUCUUUUGUGCGGGAAGAUAAUGACGGGUACAACAAGAAU
rnacentral:rRNA from 1 species